rnacentral:rRNA from 1 species
AACACAUGCAAGUCGCACGAGAACGUUUCAGCUUGCUGAAACUAGUAAAGUGGCGCACGGGUGAGUAACGCGUGGGUAAUCUACCUCCGAAUUGGGGAUAACAUUGCGAAAGCGAUGCUAAUACCGAAUGACAUCUCAAUAACUCCGGUCUUUGAGAUCAAAGGUGGCCUCUCCAUGGAAGCUACUGUUUGGAGAUGAGCCCGCGUACCAUUAGCUUGGGGGAGGGUAAUGGCCUACCAAGGCGACGAUGGUUAGCUGGUCUGAGAGGAUGAUCAGCCACACUGGAACUGACACACGGUCCAGACUCCUACGGGAGGCAACAGUGAGGAAUUUUGCGCAAUGGGGGAAACCCUGACGCAGCAACGCCGCGUGAGUGAUGAAGGCUUUCGGGUCGUAAAGCUCUGUCAAGUGAGAAGAACCUGUCCUUUGCUAAUAUCACUGGGCACUGACGGUAUCACUGAAGGAAGCACCGGCUAACUCCGUGCCAGCAGCCGCGGUAAUACGGAGGGUGCAAGCGUUAUUCGGAAUCACUGGGCGUAAAGAGCGCGUAGGCGGUUUCUAAAGUCAGAUGUGAAAGCCCGGGGCUCAACCCCGGAAGUGCAUUUGAAACUUAGGGACUUGAGUAUGGGAGAGGGAAGUGGAAUUCCUGGUGUAGCGGUGAAAUGCGUAGAUAUCAGGAGGAACACCGGUGGCGAAGGCGACUUUCUGGACCAAUACUGACGCUGAGGCGCGAAGGCGUGGGGAGCAAACAGGAUUAGAU